rnacentral:rRNA from 1 species
AACGAACGCUGGCGGCGCGCCUAAUACAUGCAAGUCGAGCGAGAAGACGUAGCAAUACGUUUGUAAAGCGGCGAACGGGUGAGGAAUACAUGGGUAACCUACCCUCGAGUGGGGAAUAACUAGCCGAAAGGUUAGCUAAUACCGCGUACGCUCCUUGGACUUCGGUUCAGGGAGGAAAGCGAUACCGUGGGUAUCGCGCUCUUGGAUGGGCUCAUGUCCUAUCAGCUUGUUGGUGAGGAACGGCUCACCAAGGCUUCGACGGGUAGCUGGUCUGAGAGGACGAUCAGCCACACUGGCACUGCGACACGGGCCAGACUCCUACGGGAGGCAGCAGUAAGGAAUAUUGCGCAAUGGGGCGAAAGCCUGACGCAGCGACGCCGCGUGGGGGAUGAAGGUC